UUCCCAGAGGUGAAGAAAAUAGACCUAAUUUCUGGAUGACCUCAUGUUUUAAGUGUCACCUUGCUUCAUCUUUGUGAUUUAACACACCUGCAGCACAGCCUGUGCAAAGGGACUUGAACUCCUGCUAGUGAGCUGCUGCACUGGCACAGCUGCCUGUUGCUGCCCCACAGAUUCAUAAACUACAGGCAGAAAAUCUCUUUUCUAAAGGAUUUCAACCCUUGAAGCUCAGGAUACAGUCAUCUCAAGACCAAUUUAAAAAAAAAAAACCAACAAACUACUGAUGGGAAUGGAAGAUUCUGCAUUGGACUUAAUUAUCUAGGGCAAGGAGAAAACAUCCCUUUCAUCCAGGAAUUGUGCAAUUGUCUAUUAUGGGCUACAGCAUCUGCUUUAAAGUGAGUGGCAAAACUCAUAUUGAAAUAAACAUAAGAAGGAUUUGACCCAUGAGGGUUCAGACAUUUUGAAGCAUCUGAUUUGCUGAUCACUGACAAAAAAAGAACAUGGGAGAAACAAUUCAGUACUUAGACAAUAUACUUGCAAUGACUGAUAAGCUUCUCUCUCCUUCAAAAAACCCAAACCAAGCAAAAAACCUGAGCUGAUGUCUCCACAGUGCACAUGUGUAUUUAUGAGAGUAAGUUUGCUUGUUGCCCAGGUGGAAGUCCAGGCCAUGGACAGAGAAAAUAAAUUUUGUAUGUAAUUUGGGGGUGUCCUUGAGCUCAAGAGUGUGUUUAUUUAUAUAUUUUUAAUAGAGGAGCAGUAUAGGAAAUAAUCAGCGCUUGAAAGACUGGUCAAGGCUAUCAUUACAAAUAAAGAAACCAAGCUAAAAGACCAAUGUGUUAGGCUGACAAACUGGAUUUUAAAUUAAGUUUUAGCUGGAAUGAGUUUCUAAAGCUAUUUUUAGCCUCAACCAUGUGAGAAGCACAUGGCUCCAUAAAUACAUUCCCCUCAAGAAUAAGUUAAUGGGGGUGGGGGGUGUGGAAGGAAACAACCUAAACAAUUCAUUUAAAGUUAAUAACUGAGUCAAGAAUUUUAUAGCUUGGUUUUUGAAGCAUUUGUCAUUAAAGUGUGAUUCACUUUUGCAAUUACAUCUACUCACAGCCCGACAGUGCAUGGGACAGUGGGUGAUGGAAGGUUCGAGUGGGCCCCUCUCAGCUGCCCUGGAGCUCAGCAAGAGGGGAAUUGCUCAGCAUUUUGGGGCAGCUGUGGUAAGCUCUGGCUCUGAAACACCCCACAAAAGAACCUGCCUUUUCCUUCGCUCUUACAGAGAGGGCUUUGGGAGAAUCAGCCUACAUGAAACCCUCCGGGCAUCGUGUUGGAAAACCGCACGUAAGCAUAACAGUAAAGAAAGGAACAGUCACAAAAUAAUGCCCAAACAUUUUCACCAAAUAUGCAGGCAGGGACACACUGCAUGCCCUAAACACAUUUGGUCUUCCAGCAGAAGAGAGCACUCCCAAGAGGAAGGGUUUGUGCAACAGAAUUUGUAGCUGUUUUCCCAGCUACAUCAGCACACCUCACAUAAAGGCCAUAGCUCCUCCACAAACCCAGUCUCCUCUGGGUUGAGAUAAAGAUGACAAAGGACUUGUGCAAUUAAAGAAUAUCAUUACGUCCUCAGUCUUCAAGCAUUUCAGUCAGGAGAUGCUCCUUAGCUUUAGAAAAGAAAUUAAAGAGGCAAAAAAUAGAUAAUUGGGACUAUAGGGCUUGUUUAUUCUGGUUUAUCCCCAGAUCCAUGAGGUCACAGGCCAGUUGCUUUGGUGCUGCAGCUCCCUGGAUCUGUUGAUGAGUAAAUCCAGUCGUGGUAUGAGAGCAGACAUGGAGGACUUGGCUGCUUCUUCAUUUUACUUUUUUUUUUUAAGUCAUUAUAGACAUCAAAUUGCUGUUGUCAUGGUGAAUUUGGCUCCCAGUCUGGAGGUGACCCUCUGAGGGAUCUCCAAGACCAUCUGUGGCCAACAGGGUCAUGGAGCAAGAGCAGCUGGACCUCUGUGCUGAUGAAAGAUCUGGAGGAGUUAGCUGUCUGUUCCAGUUUUGCAGAUUUAUUAUUAAUUUUUGUCAUGUUGGAUGGGGGAUGUAAAGGUUCCUCCCUCAGUUGCCAUGCCUGCUUUGUUAUGUGGGAUUUUCUCUGGUACAUGAUGCACAUAAAGGUUAAAGGAAAUGCAGAAAUCCAGAAAAGAGACUCCAUUAGUUGAAAUGGCAAUGAACUAUAAUUUUUGGCAUGCUGAAGCUUGGGUUUCACCUCCCUGCUCUGUAUGUUCAUGUGUGUAUCUCUGACUAUGGACUUAAUUUUCUUAAACUGUACAGAGAAGUUUAUCUUUGGUUACUUCUACUGUGGACUACUGGCUUGCCUCCUUUCAACCUACAGAUCAAAGACAUCAUGUAAAAACAGUGCAAUUAUGACUAAAAUAAACACUUUAAACUCUGA